UCGCAACAAAAUUUGAAUUUUUGAACAUUAAAAUAUUAUAUAAAGAAAACGAAAUAUACAAAAAAUGUUUAAGCAAAGUUAAGAGAACAACGAAGUCAUAAAAAAAAAAAGAAGAAAAUUAAAUAAAAGAAAAUAAAGAAAUUUAGUGAACGAGGGAAAAGUAAAUAAGUAAAGCAAUGGCUACCGAUUUACAGCCAGGAAAAUAUGUUGGACUUGUUGCCGACCUUAUGCCCAACAUCAAAUUGAUGAAAUUUUCGGGUUUAUUUAUGCAUGCGUUCACUAGCGGGUCGGCACUUGGGAAAAAAAUCUAUUCAUCCAUACAUCUCGCUUUAAUUGUAUUACAAUUUUUAUCGAUAUUGGUCAAUAUGGCCUUGAAUGCGGAUGAAGUCAAUGAAUUAUCUGGUAAUACUAUUACAGUUCUCUUCUUUACACACAGCAUUACAAAGUUUAUUUACUUGGCCUGCAGUCAGAAAAAUUUUUAUCGAACUAUUAGUAUAUGGAAUCAAGUCAAUACGCAUCCUUUGUUCGCUGAAUCCGAUGCACGUUAUCAUUCAAUUGCUUUAGCGAAAAUGCGUAAAUUAUUCUUCUUAGUAAUGCUUACUACAGUUGCAUCAGCUGUAGCGUGGGUUACUCUAACAUUUUUUGGUGAAAGUGUUAAAUUUGCUGUUGAUAAGGAGAAUAAUUCCACCAUAACUGUGGAGAUACCCCGUUUACCAAUUAAAUCUUUUUACCCUUGGGAUGCCAGCAGCGGAAUAUCGUAUAUCAUAUCCUUUAUCUAUCAAGCGUACUUUAUACUGUUCGCUCUAUCUCAUGCAAAUUUAUGCGAUAUAUUAUUCUGUUCAUGGUUAAUAUUCGCUUGUGAGCAAUUGCAACAUCUAAAGAGUAUUAUGAAACCAUUAAUGGAAUUAUCCGCCUCAUUGGAUACGUUUCGUCCCGAUUCUGGAGCUCUAUUUCGUUCAUUGUCAGCACAUUCCAAGGCCGAAUUGAUUGAAAAUGAAGAAAAAGAACCACCUUCAAGCAACGGUUUAGAUUUGUCGGGCAUUUAUAGCAGCAAAGCGGAUUGGGGCGCUCAGUUUCGUGCCCCCUCGACCCUACAAACGUUUAACAAUAACAAUCCGAAUGGUUUAACUAAAAAACAAGAAAUGAUGGUACGCAGCGCCAUUAAAUAUUGGGUGGAACGGCACAAACAUGUUGUAAGAUUAGUAGCAGCCAUAGGUGACACUUAUGGCGUCGCAUUAUUAUUGCAUAUGUUGACGGCAACUAUAAAAUUGACGCUAUUGGCAUACCAAGCGACCAAAAUUACGGGCGUUAAUGUUUAUGCACUCGGUGUCGUCGGUUAUUUGGGUUAUUCGUUGGCACAAGUGUUUCAUUUCUGUAUAUUUGGCAAUCGUCUGAUUGAGGAGGUAACGUAGAUAUAUACAUGUAUGCACUACUUACUUAUUAGGUACUUGCAUGUAUUUUGAUCAUUUACUCACUUGAAAAAGGUAUUUAUUGAGCAAAACUGAUACAUUAUAUAUUAAGUCAAAUAUUUUCCGUCCGGCAACGUGGAGAUAUUGUGUCAAAAGAACGAUACUGGUUUGGCAAUGAUUCAAUCAUCGACCUCUUUUCACACUUCUUCAGGAUUUCGAAACCGCAUGCCAGCCGAGCCAUGCUUCAUCACAGCAUUAUGUAUGUAUGGGUAAAUAUAUAUGUAUUCAAGCGUCCACUAAGGCAGAAUAUGAACCAACAACAACAAGUUAGAAACAGAAAAAGUGACUUACCGGCCAUGAUGGUGUAAUAAUUCUGUUAAACAAAACACAACCGUGCGUACUUCACGAGUGGUAAUAAGAUGUCGCUACGUCUGGUGGGUACGUUGGGUGCAGUAACAAUGUAUCCUUAACAUCUCUUACAACGUGUGGCGGACGUCGCCAUGCAAGCGGGUGGCUUUGUGUUUGCUAACCACAACUUCUGCUCAAUCGAACGUUGAAUUUUUUCAAUUGAUAUCGGUAGACAUCCGCAGUAACAAUUUCGUUCGUUAUUAGCAGCUCGUAACACACUGCAGCUUGCUGAUUCAAUCGUAUGCACAGGAAAACCAUAUGGCCAUGAAUAUUCCGUUGCGUUGUCGCUGGGGAUGGCGAUCCUGGAUUAACCGUAUUUUUUUUCGCUUGGGAUUAGCCCGGUGGAUCCAUUUUUCAUUCCCAGUCAUAGAGCGCCUUUUGCUUCUUUGCUUGGCAAGCAAUGAAACCGUGAUAUUCGGAAUGGCAUUUUCCGUUAAAUGGUAUGGUAGUCAUAUUCUCCCUUCUUCGAUCUGUCCAAUUGCUUGAAAAUCUCUAGAAACAUUUAAUUAAGCAAAUGCAAAGCUAUUCGAAAGCUCCUUGAAAGUUUAAGCUCGUUAAGCGACGAAACGACAAUGGGAUAUGAUGGAGGAGCACCACCAGAAGCUUCUAAAACUGUUUGACGGGCUUGACAGUAAAUUUGUUCAAAUCAAACAACAAAAGUUAUGAGUGUCGAAAGUGCUCUUAUAAGCAUUCCAUGAUUAGUAUCUGUAUAUAUUGAACAAAUCAACAAUACUAAAUGGAAAAUUGAAGAAGACAAAACUAUGAAGAGAAAAGUUAAAAUCGAAUUUAACCUUUGUGCACAUUCCUACUUUGCAUUACUUUAUCAUUUUCACCAAUAGAUGUUACUUGUCAUACAAAUACAUGCAAACAAUUAAUACAAUACAUUGGUGCAUAACUAUCAGGCGUUCUUAAACGAUUUUAUCAGGUAUCAGUGCUUAUGAACACUAUUUGUUAAGGAAAAGUAAACAUAAAAAUUCAACAGUAAUAAUAUUUAAAUGACUAAUCCGGAGCGUAGAUUCAAUAAUUGAAGUAAAUGGUGGCUUUCCAUUUGCUUGGAAGGCGGCCGAUUACACGGGUAGAGAAUUAACGGUUCCUGAGGGCAAUCCAUCGAUUGACAUCGGCGGCUAAAUUAUUGCGCCUGGUCGCCGAAAUCCGAGAGCCGAACUCUUCCUGAGUUAUUUAAAACGGGCAAACCAUUGCCUGCGAGGACUUUCACUGAUUGUGCCCUCACCGAAAACUUCCUUGAGAUCGCAAAGUGACUGCGCUACUUCCCUGGAAGACGGUCGAUUACAUGGGCAAAGAAUUCACCCUUAUUAGAAGCAAUCCAAGCUUUGACGUCCGCCACUAAGUUAUUGCGACUGGUUCUCGAAAUUCGAUGAUCGACCUAGUCCUGGCUUAUCUUCCAAGCUAGUGUCGCCAGAUUUGGAAUGGGCAAACCAUUCCCUGCAUCGACUUUCGCUGAUUGUGUCCUCACCGAAAAAUUCGUUGAAAUCGUGAAGUGACUGCGCUGCUUUCCAUCCUUUUCCAAAGUGAUACAAGAUAAUAUGAGGAAUAUGAGUACGAUUAUCGACAGGCAUUUUUAUAACCUAAAAAGUUCAUCGGUUAUGGAGGCGGCUUAUUCAUGUCAUUGGUAUGAUGGUUCAGAAGAAGCCAAGACAUUUGUACAAAUCGUUUGUCAACA